rnacentral:tRNA from 1 species
AUUUAAAUAGCUUAAAUUAGAGCAUUAUAUUGAAGAUAUAAAGGUAAAUUUAAUUUUUUUAAAUA